CGUUGCAAAUCUCUAGUUAAAAGUUAGUUACUUUUUGAAAGUUUUGGUUUGGUUUGCAGGAAAUAUUAGCAAUAAAUAUUAAGGGAAAAACCGUAUCCGUUGGUCGACUAGGGUGGAAACGACAUACAGAUUUUGUACAUGGCACAGAGCGCGCGGCAUGCGGAACAAUAUUGAUAGUCGCCGAGUGGGAAGUUGCUGACGAUGAUGAGUGGCAUUUUCAUCUGGAAUCAGAAAGGGGAAUCUAUUCUUGAUUCAGCCAACGAAACUUGAGCUUUAGUCCGGAUGGUUAUCAUAAUAUUACUCCUGCCAAGAUUGCGAAGAUUGAAAAAAUUCCAAAGCCAUUGAACAUGACCUACAUCCUAGCGUACAUCUAAACUUCGAUCAAAACUAUUUCUCUGAAACAAGCAGCAGCCACUUCAACAUCAUUUUAUUCAGCGUAACGUGGUGGUUCGGUUCGGGCAGCAAUUAGUUUCAUCCAAAAAAUAAGCCUCUUGUUAUCUCUCUGCCAUACCGGUUGAUUUCCACAGUAGUUACAAAGAGUUCCGGUGAUGGGAAGCGGAGGAACGUUGGGAAGGUAGAAUCAGCUGCUGCUGCUCGCCAAUGCCCCGUAUGUAACGGCAU